AAGAGUAAGGGAACCCGGAGGUGAAAACCGAAGGGCCAACCCGACCUCCAACCCUCUGUUGUUAUAACUACCUCGUUGCUUUGGCGGGACCGUCCGGUCCUCCGAGCGCACCAGUCUUCGGACAGGUGAGCGCCCGCCAGAGUCCAACCAAACUCUUGUUUUUAACCAGUCGUCUGAGUAUAAAAUUUUAAUUAAAUUA
rnacentral:misc_RNA from 1 species